GCCCUGGUAAUCCAAUAGGCAGAGAUGAUGGUCUCAAACACCAUACAGUGUGGGUUCGAGUCCCACCCAGGGCA
rnacentral:tRNA from 1 species